rnacentral:rRNA from 1 species
GGUUAAGCGACUAAGCGUACACGGUGGAUGCCCUGGCAGUCAGAGGCGAUGAAGGACGUGCUAAUCUGCGAAAAGCGUCGGUAAGGUGAUAUGAACCGUUAUAACCGGCGAUGUCCGAAUGGGGAAACCCAGUGUGAUUCGUCACACUAUCGUUAACUGAAUACAUAGGUUAACGAGGCGAACCGGGGGAACUGAAACAUCUAAGUACCCCGAGGAAAAGAAAUCAACCGAGAUUCCCCCAGUAGCGGCGAGCGAACGGGGAGCAGCCCAGAGUCUGAAUCAGCUUGUGUGUUAGUGGAACGGUCUGGAAAGUCCGACGGUACAGGGUGAUAGUCCCGUACACCAAAAUGCACAGGUUGUGAACUCGAAGAGUAGGGCGGGACACGUGGUAUCCUGUCUGAAUAUGGGGGGACCAUCCUCCAAGGCUAAAUACUCCUGACUGACCGAUAGUGAACCAGUACCGUGAGGGAAAGGCGAAAAGAACCCCGGCGAGGGGAGUGAAAAAGAACCUGAAACCGUGUACGUACAAGCAGUGGGAGCACCUUCGGGUGUGACUGCGUACCUUUUGUAUAAUGGGUCAGCGACUUAUAUUCUGUAGCAAGGUUAACCGUAUAGGGGAGCCGCAGGGAAACCGAGUCUUAACUGGGCGUUAAGUUGCAGGGUAUAGACCCGAAACCCGGUGAUCUAGCCAUGGGCAGGUUGAAGGUUGGGUAACACUAACUGGAGGACCGAACCGACUAAUGUUGAAAAAUUAGCGGAUGACUUGUGGCUGGGGGUGAAAGGCCAAUCAAACCGGGAGAUAGCUGGUUCUCCCCGAAAGCUAUUUAGGUAGCGCCUCGUGAAUUCAUCUUCGGGGGUAGAGCACUGUUUCGGCUAGGGGGUCAUCCCGACUUACCAACCCGAUGCAAACUACGAAUACCGAAGAAUGUUAUCACGGGAGACACACGGCGGGUGCUAACGUCCGUCGUGAAGAGGGAAACAACCCAGACCGCCAGCUAAGGUCCCAAAGUCAUGGUUAAGUGGGAAACGAUGUGGGAAGGCACAGACAGCCAGGAUGUUGGCUUAGAAGCAGCCAUCAUUUAAAGAAAGCGUAAUAGCUCACUGGUCGAGUCGGCCUGCGCGGAAGAUGUAACGGGGCUAAACCAUGCACCGAAGCUGCGGCAGCGACACUAUGUGUUGUUGGGUAGGGGAGCGUUCUGUAAGCCUGCGAAGGUGUGCUGUGAGGCAUGCUGGAGGUAUCAGAAGUGCGAAUGCUGACAUAAGUAACGAUAAAGCGGGUGAAAAGCCCGCUCGCCGGAAGACCAAGGGUUCCUGUCCAACGUUAAUCGGGGCAGGGUGAGUCGACCCCUAAGGCGAGGCCGAAAGGCGUAGUCGAUGGGAAACAGGUUAAUAUUCCUGUACUUGGUGUUACUGCGAAGGGGGGACGGAGAAGGCUAUGUUAGCCGGGCGACGGUUGUCCCGGUUUAAGCAUGUAGGCUGAUUGUCCAGGCAAAUCCGGAUAAUCAAGGCUGAGGUGUGAUGACGAGGCACUACGGUGCUGAAGUAACAAAUGCCCUGCUUCCAGGAAAAGCCUCUAAGCAUCAGGUAACAUCAAAUCGUACCCCAAACCGACACAGGUGGUCAGGUAGAGAAUACCAAGGCGCUUGAGAGAACUCGGGUGAAGGAACUAGGCAAAAUGGUGCCGUAACUUCGGGAGAAGGCACGCUGGUGUGUAGGUGAAGUCCCUGCGGAUGGAGCUGAGACCAGUCGAAGAUACCAGCUGGCUGCAACUGUUUAUUAAAAACACAGCACUGUGCAAACACGAAAGUGGACGUAUACGGUGUGACGCCUGCCCGGUGCCGGAAGGUUAAUUGAUGGGGUUAUCCGUAAGGAGAAGCUCUUGAUCGAAGCCCCGGUAAACGGCGGCCGUAACUAUAACGGUCCUAAGGUAGCGAAAUUCCUUGUCGGGUAAGUUCCGACCUGCACGAAUGGCGUAAUGAUGGCCAGGCUGUCUCCACCCGAGACUCAGUGAAAUUGAACUCGCUGUGAAGAUGCAGUGUACCCGCGGCAAGACGGAAAGACCCCGUGAACCUUUACUAUAGCUUGACACUGAACAUUGAGCCUUGAUGUGUAGGAUAGGUGGGAGGCUUUGAAGCGUGGACGCCAGUCUGCGUGGAGCCAACCUUGAAAUACCACCCUUUAAUGUUUGAUGUUCUAACGUUGGCCCCUUACCGGGGUUGCGGACAGUGUCUGGUGGGUAGUUUGACUGGGGCGGUCUCCUCCCAAAGCGUAACGGAGGAGCACGAAGGUUAGCUAAUCCUGGUCGGACAUCAGGAGGUUAGUGCAAUGGCAUAAGCUAGCUUGACUGCGAGCGUGACGGCGCGAGCAGGUGCGAAAGCAGGUCAUAGUGAUCCGGUGGUUCUGAAUGGAAGGGCCAUCGCUCAACGGAUAAAAGGUACUCCGGGGAUAACAGGCUGAUACCGCCCAAGAGUUCAUAUCGACGGCGGUGUUUGGCACCUCGAUGUCGGCUCAUCACAUCCUGGGGCUGAAGUAGGUCCCAAGGGUAUGGCUGUUCGCCAUUUAAAGUGGUACGCGAGCUGGGUUUAGAACGUCGUGAGACAGUUCGGUCCCUAUCUGCCGUGGGCGCUGGAGAAUUGAGGGGGGCUGCUCCUAGUACGAGAGGACCGGAGUGGACGCAUCACUGGUGUUCGGGUUGUCAUGCCAAUGGCACUGCCCGGUAGCUAAAUGCGGAAGAGAUAAGUGCUGAAAGCAUCUAAGCACGAAACUUGCCCCGAGAUGAGUUCUCCCUGAGACUUUAAGUCUCCUGAAGGAACGUUGAAGACGACGACGUUGAUAGGCCGGGUGUGUAAGCGCAGCGAUGCGUUGAGCUAACCGGUACUAAUGAACCGUGAGGCUUAACCUU